AACGAACGCUGGCGGCAGGCCUAACACAUGCAAGUCGAACGCUUCAGCAAUGAAGAGUGGCAGACGGGUGAGUAACGCGUGGGAACCUUCCCAGUGGUACGGAAUAGCCCAGGGAAACUUGGGGUAAUACCGUAUAAGCCCUUCGGGGGAAAGAUUUAUCGCCAUUGGAUGGGCCCGCGUCGGAUUAGCUUGUUGGUGAGGUAAAAGCUCACCAAGGCGACGAUCCGUAGCUGGUCUGGGAGGAUGAUCAGCCACACUGGGACUGAGACACGGCCCAGACUCCUACGGGAGGCAGCAGUGGGGAAUAUUGGACAAUGGGCGCAAGCCUGAUCCAGCCAUGCCGCGUGAGUGACGAAGGCCCUAGGGUUGUAAAGCUCUUUUGGCGGGGACGAUAAUGACGGUACCCGCAGAAUAAGCUCCGGCUAACUUCGUG
rnacentral:rRNA from 1 species